rnacentral:lncRNA from 13 species
AUGACCUACCCUUACCCCCAGCCCUCGUCUUCAUUAAGGAAUGACAGGGUGGCACUAAAAGCAUCCGCUGCCAAGCACGGCUUCAGUGACAACCUCUCUCUACCUCUUUUGGCCUUCUCAUUCAUUCGCACCCUUUCCCUGCCUCUUUUCUCGACAAAAAACUGGGAAAGGCUCCCUGCGAUUACAAAAGAAGGGGUAACGGCCGGAGUUCCGUGCCUCUUGCCGGACAACGAGCGUGCAGCCGUGGACCUUUUGUCUCCAUCCUCUUUCGCGGCUUGGUCGCGGCUAGGCACGGAGGCGACGACCCCAACCAAGCCCCGCCUCAGCAGCUGCAGCCGGCGCGCCCCACUCGCAAACCCUCCGCGCCCUCUAGAAUCCCAGUGCCCGCCCUUUCGCCGUGACGCGACCGGCGCCGCGCGCAUGCGCCGCUCAGCCCGCUCCCUUUUCCCUGGGACACCGCCUCCCGACGGACUGGUGUGGGCGGGGCCUGUGGUUCUGGAAGCGGCGCUGGCGACGGGGGAGGAGGGCGUGUCUGCGCGAGGCGGGUGUGCGGGGCUGGCGAGUCGGUCGGCUGCUGAGGCUGAGGGGCGGAGCAGAAGGCGGCAGCCGCGGCUCCCGCCCGCACAGAGCGCCGGUCCCGCGAAGCCCCCUCCCACUUCUGGGCGGGCGGCGGCGGCUGCGGGAGGAGGAGAAAGAGGAGGGAGCGUCUCUGCCACCGCCUCCUGGUCCCCAGCGCCGAUCAGCCGCCGCCACCUCCCUCCGAGACGAUCCUCCCUCCAUGGUCCUGCCGCGGCACCCUCUGUAGUCCGAGCUGCUCCGCGACGCGACGGAGCCGGUCUCGGACAGAGGGAGCGGUCGUGGCCUCGCAGCCCGCUCGGGCUGACGAGCCGAGAGCGGGACGCCGCGCGGUCCCCGAGGAUCCGCACGCCGGGCAGCGCGGCCCGAGCAGCGCGAGGAGCAGCGGGCGGGCGGGCGGCGCCGGGCCCGGGCCGCCCUUGCUCCCGCGCCCCGGCCCCGCCGCCCGCGCCGGGGCGGUAG